UAAGUGAUUAGAGGUUCCAGU
rnacentral:miRNA from 1 species